AUGGCGGUUAUAUUGUUUCUUAUUAUUCUUCACAAAGAGAAAAAGAACAUGAAAGAAUUCUAUGAAAAGAAUGGUGGGCCUAUAUUAGAGAAAGCAGAUGUCAUUAAACUUUUCAAAAAGGGGGAGCUCAAGCCAAUUUUAAGGAGUAACAACUUAAUUGGAAAAGGUUGCUUCGGUGAAGUUUACAAGGGCCUGCUUGACAAUAAAUUAGUUGCAAUAAAGAAGCCUAUUAAUGGUAGUGUGCUAGAGAGUGAACAAUUUGCAAAUGAAGUCAUCAUCCAAUCUCGAGUGAUUCACAAGAACAUUGUUAGGCUCAUCGGUUGUUGCCUUGAAGUUGAUGCCCCCAUGCUGGUAUAUGAGUUUAUCUCCCAAGGUAGCCUCCAUGACAUCCUUCACAACAUCAAUAACAAUGUGGCUCUGAACUUGUCUACACGUUUAAGUAUUGCUGCACAGUCUGCGGAUGGACUAGCGUAUAUGCACUCAAAAGCAAAUAUUACAAUUCUACACGGUGAUGUUAAACCAGCAAAUAUACUCCUGGAUGAUAACUUUGUACCCAAGGUUUCAGACUUUGGCAUAUCUAGGUUAAUUCAGAGAGACAUGGAACACACUGGAUCAGUCAUCGGUGACAUGAAUUAUAUGGAUCCAGUAUAUCUACAAGAAGGCCUACUCACUGAAAAAAGUGAUGUCUAUAGUUUUGGGAUUGUGGUCCUAGAGCUUAUUAGUAGAAGGAGGGCCAUACAUUCUGAGAAUAAUAGCUUGGUAAAGAGCUUUCUUGAAGCUCACAGGAAACAUAAGAAAGCGACUGGGUUUUUUGACAAGGAAAUUGCAUUGAAAGAAGAUUUGGAGCUUCUUGAUAGUCUCGCAAGUAUGGCCGUGGAAUGCCUCAGCCUUAACGUAGACCAAAGACCAACGAUGAUGGAGGUAGCUGAGCGGCUACUCAUACUGGUCCGAUCUCAUAAGGUGUACGGGUGUUUGUAA
rnacentral:rRNA from 1 species